UUAUAGUUGCGCAGGCACUUUGGUGACUCUAGAGAACCUUGGGCCAAUAGCACGUCCCUGUGAUGGCGACUUUGCAUUCGGAUGUCUACCCUAUCAACUUUCGAUGUCACUUUCUGCGCCUACCAUGGUGACCACGGGUAACGGGGAAUCAGGGUUGGAUUCCGGAGAGGGAACCUGAAAAACUGCUACCACAUCCAAGGAAGGCAGCAGAUGCGCAAUUUACCCACUCCCGACACGGGGAGGUAGUGACGA